rnacentral:tRNA from 1 species
AAGAGGUUAGUUUAAUAAAAACUUUAAUUUGUCAGGUUAAUAUUACUAUUUAUGUACCUUUUU